GGCUAGGGAUGAGCUCGCGGCCUAUCAGCUUGUUGGUGGGGUAACGGCCUACCAAGGCGACGACGGGUAGCCGGCCUGAGAGGGCGACCGGCCACACUGGGACUGGGACACGGCCCAGACUCCUACGGGAGGCAGCGGUGGGGAAUAUUGCGCAAUGGGCGAAAGCCUGAUGCAGCGACGCCGCGUGGGGGAUGAAGGCCUUCGGGUUGUAAACCCCUUUCAGCAGGGACGAAGCGAAGGUGACGGUACCUGCGGAAGAAGCGCCGGCUAACUACGUGCCAGCAGCCGCGGUAACACGUAGGGCGCAAGCGUUGUCCGGAAUUAUUGGGCGUAAAGAGCUCGUAGGCGGUCUGUUGCGUCCGCUGUGAAAUCUCGGGGCUUAACCCCGAGCCUGCAGUGGAUACGGGCAGACUAGAGGUAGGUAGGGGAGAAUGGAAUUCCCGGUGUAGCGGUGAAAUGCGCAGAUAUCGGGAGGAACACCGGUGGCGAAGGCGGUUCUCUGGGCCUUACCUGACGCUGAGGAGCGAAAGCGUGGGGAGCGAACAGGAUUAGAUACCCUGGUAGUCCUAGCCCU
rnacentral:rRNA from 1 species